UACGUAGGUGGCAAGCGUUGUCCGGAAUUAUUGGGCGUAAAGCGCGCGCAGGCGGUCCUUUGAGUCUGAUGUGAAAGCCCACGGCUCAACCGUGGAGGGUCAUUGGAAACUGGGGGACUUGAGUGCAGGAGAGAAGAGUGGAAUUCCACGUGUAGCGGUGAAAUGCGUAGAUAUCGGGAGGAACACCAGUGGCGAAGGCGACUUCCUGGCCUGUUCUUGACGCUGAGGCGCGAAAGCUAGGGGAGCAAACGGG
rnacentral:rRNA from 1 species